rnacentral:rRNA from 1 species
AGUGAACGCUGGCGGUAGGCCUAACACAUGCAAGUCGAACGGCAGCACAGUAAGAGCUUGCUCUUACGGGUGGCGAGUGGCGGACGGGUGAGGAAUACAUCGGAAUCUACUUUUUCGUGGGGGAUAACGUAGGGAAACUUACGCUAAUACCUCAUACGACCUACGGGUGAAAGCAGGGGAUCUUCGGACCUUGCGCGAUUGAAUGAGCCGAUGUCGGAUUAGCUAGUUGGCGGGGUAAAGGCCCACCAAGGCGACGAUCCGUAGCUGGUCUGAGAGGAUGAUCAGCCACACUGGAACUGAGACACGGUCCAGACUCCUACGGGAGGCAGCAGUGGGGAAUAUUGGACAAUGGGCGCAAGCCUGAUCCAGCCAUACAGCGUGGGUGAAGAAGGCCUUCGGGUUGUAAAGCCCUUUUGUUGGGAAAGAAAAGCAGCAGGUUAAUACCCCGCUGUUCUGACGGUACCCAAAGAAUAAGCACCGGCUAACUUCGUG